rnacentral:rRNA from 1 species
AUUGAACGCUGGCGGCAGGCCUAACACAUGCAAGUCGAGCGGUUGAGGUAGCUUGCUACCGAUGCAGCGGCGAACGGGUGAGUAAUACAUGGGAAUCUGCCUGGUAGUGGGGGACAACGUCUCGAAAGGGACGCUAAUACCGCAUACGCCCUACGGGGAAAGGGGGGGAUCUUCGGACCUCUCGCUAUCAGAUGAGCCCAUGUCAGAUUAGCUAGUUGGUGGGGUAAAGGCUCACCAAGGCGACGAUCUGUAACUGGUCUGAGAGGAUGAUCAGUCACACUGGAACUGAGACACGGUCCAGACUCUACGGGAGCAGCAGUGGGGAAUAUUGGACAAUGGGCGCAAGCCUGAUCCAGCCAUGCCGCGUGUGUGAGAAGGCCUUAGGGUUGUAAAGG